AGUUCGAUGAGAGCGAUAAC
rnacentral:misc_RNA from 1 species